UGUCUGCUUGGUGUCUCCCAGACAGAAUGCGCUACCUUUGGGAAAUGGGCCCACCUUGCCUCUAUUCUCAGCGAACGGGAAAUGGACACCAUAUCUUCUUUUCUACUCACCAACUAUGCAGAGAGAUUUAGAAUCUGGAUUGGAUUGUACAAAAUCAAGGGCGCAAACCCACGAGUGAGAUGGCUAGAUUCAGCCCUGGUGGAUUACCUUCCUUGGACACCCGGUUUCUCUUCCAACACUACAGGGGCUCGGAAUUGUUUUGCACUAUGCAGCCUGGACUAUAAAAGAUGGAAUGACCUGCAUUGUCGACUAAAACAAUCCUAUCUGUGCAAGAUGGCUCUGUACUGAAUGUAGCUGGAAACACCUUGAAGGUUGUAAGUCAGAAUCUCCCUGACUACUACAAGAUCAGCCUGCUGACCCACAGAACAAGCCUGUGCGUCAGGCUUUCUUUUCCAUGUGGUGUCACUAAUCAAUAAACUCUAAUCCAAGUGCAGAUGAUGCUCUG